GUAGGUGGCGAGCGUUGUCCGGAAUUAUUGGGCGUAAAGAGCAUGUAGGCGGUUUUUUAAGUCUGGAGUGAAAAUGCGGGGCUCAACCCCGUAUGGCUCUGGAUACUGGAAGACUUGAGUGCAGGUGAGGAAAGGGGAAUUCCCAGUGUAGCGGUGAAAUGCGUAGAUAUUGGGAGGAACACCAGUGGCGAAGGCGCCUUUCUGGACUGUGUCUGACGCUGAGAUGCGAAAGCCAGGGUAGCGAACGGGAUUAGAUACCCCGGUAGUCCUGGCCGUAAACGAUGGGUACUAGGUGUAGGAGGUAUCGACCCCUUCUGUGCCGGAGUUAACGCAAUAAGUACCCCGCCUGGGGAGU
rnacentral:rRNA from 1 species